CGAAAGUUAGAGGUUCGAAGGCGAUCAGAUACCGCCCUAGUUCUAACCAUAAACGAUGCCAGCCAGCGAUCCGGCUGUGUUCCUCAAAUGACACGCCGGGCAGCUUCCGGGAAACCAAAGCUUUUGGGUUCCGGGGGAAGUAUGGUUGCAAAGCUGAAACUUAAAGGAAUUGACGGAGGGGCACCACCAGACGUGGAUGUUGCGGUUCAAUUUGACUCAACGCAGCAAAUCCUACCAGGCCAGGACACAGGAAGGAUUGACAGAUUGAGAGCUCUUUCUUGAUUCUGUGGGUGGUGGUGCAUGGCCGUUCCUGGUUCGUGGAGCGAUUUGUCUUGUUUAUUCUGAUAACGGACGAGAUUCUAGCCUACUAAAUAGACGCUUCGAUCCUUCGAGUCGAGCGUUCUUCUUAGAGGGACAGGCGGUGUUUAGCCGCACGAGGCAGAGCAAUAACAGGUCUGUAAUGCCCUUAGAUGUCCUGGGCCACACGCGUCCUACAUUGAAGGAAUCAACGUGUGCUUUCCCUGUCCGAAGGGACUGGGUAACCCGUUGAACCUCCUUCGUGCUGGGGAUAGGAAAUUGUAAUUAUUUUCCUUGAACGAGGAACUUCUAGUAAGCGCGAGUCAUCAUCUCGGGUUGAUUAGGUCCCUGCCCCUUGUCCACACCGCCCGUCGCUAUUACCGAUUGAAUGAUUUAGUGAGGUCUUCGGACUGGCGCUCGGAUUGGCCUUCGGGUCGAGCCGGCGUGCCGGAAAGAUGACCGAACUUGACCAUUUAGAGGAAAUAAAAGUCGUAACAAGG
rnacentral:rRNA from 3 species